rnacentral:rRNA from 1 species
UAAAGACCUACAAAUACUGCCGGUUAAUACAAUCCAUUGAUUAAAAUCCAAAGAAUUUGGCGGUAUCUUAAAUACUCAGGGGAACCUGUACCUUAAUUUGAUAAUCCACAAAAAUUAAUCUUCAUUUUGAAAUUCAGCCUGUAUACUGCUGUCGUCAGUAAACCUCUAAAAGUAAAGUUUACAACAAUACUCAAUAUCCACGUCAAGUCAAAGUGCAGCCUAUAGUGAAGAGAGAUAUGGGUUACAAUUUAUAAAAAAAUUAAAUUAUUAAAAUAAAAAUAAUAUGAAAAUGGACUUGAUUGUAAUAUUUAUAACAUACUAAUAUAAACAAGAAUCUAAGACAUGCACACAUCGCCCGUCACUCUCAUUUAAAUUG